GGUUGUUGUUUUUUUCCUUUUUAAAGGCAAUUUAUUCACAAUAUUUGAUUAUAAAAACAGACUCCGACACGGGUGGGGCAACUGCAAAGUGGGCUUUGCCACCGCGGGGGCCCCAGAAGAAGGCUCUCCUGCUCCAAUCAGCUCAUUAAAAUGCAAAUGUAAUCAGAGGCACUUUAAGGCAUCAGACUUCGGUGACAACCAGAUGGCGUUCGUAUUUAUGAGCCCAAAUCAGAUUCGGCUCCUCAGGAGAAUGGAAGAGUUUGCAUGGAGAAGGGCGGGGGGGGGGGGAGAGUUUGCUCAAGGGAACAAAAAGGCGUUCAGCCUUUGCGGAAUCACCUGUAAGCCGGGAAUGGGGAGAGAACCCAAAUGUUGUUGGAGGACUGACUGUUGUGUUGGAAUCUGGCUGUGUCUGCAGGUGCCACAGGUUAAUCACUCUGUCUUUAAUUUAAAGGGCACAUAACAGGGCAGGGGGACUGCCCCUUCACAGAGAUUACUUUUUAAGGCCAUUGCUUCUUUUUCUAGGGGGAAAGAACCUUGCUAGUCCAGCGAACUGGAAUUCACCCUCCGGAGCUGAACAGCCAAUUUCAUUUUUUACAUCAUGUACAACCCCUCACCACCCCCACAUAACAUGCACACGUUACGCCAAACAGGGUUUUUCUUUUAAAGCAUUAACAUUUGCAUGGACAUUCCCCCUUCCUAGCAACCUCUUCUUUUCUGACUUUCAGCAAGUCCUCUGCAGCCCGAGAGCUCUCGCCCCGCCCUGUGGAUCUGCUUGCUUGCUUAGCCUCCUCCCUGUUUGCGAAUGCCUCCCCACGCCCCUGCCGGCCUCGCGUUACCAAACAGCUGGCACCCAGACCCAGUGCCAGCUGGGGCGUUACCAGCGGCCUAGAUGAAGGCAGCCUGGGAGAGGAAAGGAGGCGCUUGUGUCACUCGGGCAAGGAGGAAGCCCGGCCCCCUGCUUUUGGCUGAGGCAGGCCCAAGGCCUUGCAGCCAUUUCCAGCGUUGGCUGGCUCAAAUCCCAAUCUGGAUGGGAUGGCCGCGAGCACAGCACGGAGGUGAAGCGGUGGAGCUGCGCCACCUAGCGGACAGCAGCAUGCGCGGGAGGUGCCUGGCAGAAAGGAAGCUAUGACCAACUCAGCCCCCUGACAUCAUCACAAAGACUCACUGACUGCCACCUGUUCCCUAGGCUCCCUCCGAGAUACUGCCACCCCCUUCUGCACCACAGACAUAGCUAUUUCCACUUUGCUAAAAGCAAAGCAAGCUUCCUGCCUUUAUCCCAGCCUCCCCAACUAAAGCAGCUCCUGUGCUCAAGGCUCCACACACACUGCAUCCAGCUGGGACCUCAGUUUCCCCCUUCCUACCCCAAGUCCUCCUACUGCCCCCUUGUCACCACACUCCCUGCCACCACAUGCAAGCCACUCUCUGCUGUCCCUCAGACCUGUUUCUUGUUACAGGCCCCAUCCCAUUGUGUCUUACCCCAAAUAAUAUAUUCAAGGUGGUUUGCAAUAACAUCCUUUAAGCACACUAGAAGGACGCAGGUGGCGCUGUGGGUUAAACCACAGAGCCUGGGACUUGCCGAUCAGAAGGUCGGCGGUUCGAAUCCCUGCGACGGGGUGAGCUCCCGUUGCUCGGUCCCUGCUCCUGCCAACCUACCAGUUCAAAAGCACGUCAAAGUGCAAGAUAAAUAGGUACCGCUCUGGUGGGAAGGUAAACGGCGUUUCCGUGCGCUGCUCUGGUUCGCCAGAAGCGGCUUAGUCAUGUUGGCCACAUGACCCGGAAGCUGUAUGCCAGCUCCCUCAGACAAUAAAGCGAGAUGAGUGCCGCAACCCCAGAGUCUGCCACGACUGGACCUAAUGGUCAGGGGUCCCCUUACCUUUACCUUAAGCACACUGCUGUAUUGGAGGGGAAAUUAAUGUGGUGCCCUCUCCAUGAUGGGAAACAGAGGCCAACCACAUUUGUAGGACAUCACCCUACAGAUUAAAAGAGGAUAUGUGGAGGGGAAGGAGUGUUCGUCUCCAUUUUUUCCCCAGUGAAGAUUUGUGUGUCAAGCAAGGCUCCUAACCUGCACUGGUGACGACAAGUAUGGCACCUGGGAAAGGCAAGCAUUCUGCAAGAACACAACCUGUGCGUGCAAGUGGAUGGCGAGCUCUUCCAGAAGAGCAGUCACAUUCAUAAAAUAGUGGAGUUGGAAGGGACCCUCCAGUUCAAAAACCCUGCAGUGCAGGAACCACAGUGAAACCACCCCUGGAAGUUAGAGCAAAAAUAAAGACUUGUAGCAUCUUAAAAGUAGAUAGUGCUGCUAUCACCCGCAUUCCACAUUCUGAACUGUCUUCUUCCUACCUCAUCUGUAGUCCCAGCUUUUAACACUCACACCCGAGUUACACAACCAUAGAUCUCCCUUCCUGUCUUUUACUUCCUUCCCUCUGGGGUCUCUCUGCUCUCCAGAUAUUUAAUUCCAAUAUCAACACCAACCCACUUCUUUUGAUUCUCAGUAUGUUAUCCACAAGUUCCUUCCCCACCCCCCUCCAAACCCAGACGUGUUCCAGAAGAUCAGCUAGGAUUAUAAAGGUUUACCAAUAACAGACAAUGUGAAGUGUUUUCUCAGUUCUGUAAACAACCAAUCACUCUUUCAGCUAAACCUGCGUAGGAACCAAGUGCCUGAAGGAAAACCUGCUCCCCUUUACGAACCUAUCUGUGCAUUCAGGUAAUCUCCACGCUCCUCCAGUUGCCCACAGAGCACCUUCUCAGAAGCGAUGGCCCUUUCAGUGAAUUUACUUCAGUGAGUCUCAUCUAUUGCCAACACUGUUCCAUGCAAAAAGGUGCUAUUAAAUCUUCCGGGCUUUCAGAAUGUGUAUGGGGUUGUUGUUGGUAUUUUUGUAAUUAAAAACCCCCAAAACAAUGUGAUAUUUUAUCAGUUUUGUAACCUGCCCAGGCAGCUCUGCUGAAGGGUGGAAUAUAAUCUUUUAAAUCCAAAUAAACUUGAUGUGUUACUUCCCAUCCAAAAUGUUCAGCCAAUAUCCCCUCCUCCACUCACUCCCAGCACCAAAAACACCAAGCAGUUCUUAGUCUGCUUCCUACACACACAGCUUUUGUCUCCAAAAUCCCCAUUUACGCAGCUGGCUUCCCCCAAAAAAGACACACCCUGAACUUUCAAGGGAGCCUUUUUAACUCCACAAAAACUUAAAGGCCAUUCUCGCACCACCACCCACAGGUACAUUCCCCUACCAAUUAAACCUCACCUUCUCCUGAUUUUUUUUGGGGGGCGGCAGCAGCAGCAUCCAAAAGCUGGCUGGCUUCCAGACCGAAAACCCCGCGAACCUGAACUCUUUUAAUACCCACACAUAAGCCCUUCCCCAUCACUGCCCAAGUAAUUUUCCCCAUUAAAAACCACAAAUUCCCAUAUUGCUACCUACCCACCCCCCACCAAAAAAAGGUCCAGAAAUCUAAUGAAUUCUUCUUACUCUCCUCAGUCCAAAAUGCCAAUUUUUAAGUCUUCUUGGACACCGACACAGAGAAAUUGCCUUGCUUUCC